GCUGCACUUUAUGACAAGUAGCCUAUACAGCAUAUCCUGUCUCCAGGCUUCCGUAAUGUUUCUGUGUCUCUGUGUUCAUUGUGGCUUUUUUUUUGUACUCUGUUCUACAGUAUGAAGUUAUAUGAUUACAGGAAAACAGGGGUUGUUCAUUUUCAUCUGUAGUUGACACUGAACGAGAACAAUCUACAGAAUCAUGUGCAAACUUCCCCUUUGGUGUUCUAUAGUAUUGCUGUUAUUCCCAGUUCCUGCAAAUGCCAGGGUGUGGAUGAACCAGUGGUCCUCAAAGAAUGCUUACAUAGUAGGGGAAACAGCUGCUCUUUAUUGCAACAUAACCUCAGAUCAUGAGGAAAUAAGAAAUUGCAAAAUGAGAUGGAUCAUUGAAGAUCAAGGUGAUGUCACAAGUUUGGAGUUAUAUACGCAUCGUGUCAACAUGAAUUUGAGCAAAACAGCUACUACUAUGACAUUGAGAAACCUGACCUUGAGAGACACCAUUAUGCCAAUUUGCAUCGCAAUGUGCAUCAUUGACAGUGUCAACAGCAAGGUUUAUGGGGAGGGUGGCACACUUCACAUUUUUGAAGACAUCAACCAGAUGACCCUGGUCUCAAAGUUGACAACACUGGUCCCAGAGUUGACAACACUGGUCCCAAAGGAAAUCAAACAGGAACAUGCUCUCACUUGGCUGAACCAUGUUUUUCUCAGCAUAAACAUCCUGAUUUUCAUUGUGGCCACAAUUAUUUGUGUGUCAUACAUCAGAUCCCAAAUGAAUAUGAAUUAAAAAGGGAUUGCAUUAGUUGUUAAAAUAUUGCCUGAAGCACCCUUCCAAGUUAUAGCCUCAAGCCUAUGCUCUAACACCUUUAGUAAACUGUCAACUGUGAUUUGAAACGUUUUCGGAACAAUAGCUUUCUUCACGCACUGCAUUUUAUUGUGUUUUUAGGCCUGUUCAUAUUUUAUUACUCUAAUGAAUAGAAUGUAUGGAUGAAUGUAUGGCUACUGAUAUAUUUUUUACUGUCUUGUAUUAUUAUCUGAAAACAAACUAGGUAAAGGUGAAAGGUGACAAGCAUCUGGUAAAUGCAUUCCAGAUUAGAGUGAGCAAAAGACUACAUUUGAUUUACUUUCCUUUAGUAUCCAUGUGGACAUUUUGAAUACAGUUGACAUAUAUUAAUUUAAUCGUGUAUCCUAAUCAUAAUCAUUGCUAUUGAUAGAAUAUAGAUUAAAGUUGAUAAAGUUUAGACUAUUUUUCACGUCUGCUCCUGCUCUUCCCCCCAGGUGCUUGAGGGUGCCAGGCUGCCCUGCAUCACUCACUCCUAUCAUCCACUACGCACACCUGCCUUCCCUUGUCACGCGCUUCAGCUAUAUUGGACUCACUUAUCUGUUUAUUACCUCGCCUAUAUUUGUGAGUUUCCCUACUGAUGCAUUGAUUGUUUUUUGUCUGUAUUAUUAGUUUACUGACGCUGUUCCUGUCUCAUGUCCGUUCUUUAUUAAAUGUUUGACUCCCCGUA